CAGGGAUUGCCUCAGUAACGGCGAGUGAAGCGGCAACAGCUCAAAUUUGAAAGCUGGCUCCUUCGGGGCCCGCGUUGUAAUUUGUAGAGGAUGUUUCGGGCGCGGUGCCGGUCUAAGUUCUUUGGAACAAGACGUCAUAGAGGGUGAGAAUCCCGUAUGUGACUGGUUGCCUGUGCCCAUGUGAAACUCCUUCGACGAGUCGAGUAGUUUGGGAAUGCUGCUCAAAAUGGGAGGUGUAUUUCUUCUAAAGCUAAAUAUUGGCCAGAGACCGAUAGCGCACAAGUAGAGUGAUCGAAAGAUGAAAAGCACUUUGGAAAGAGAGUUAAACAGUACGUGAAAUUGUUGAAAGGGAAGCGCUUGCAAUCAGACUUGCGCGGCGUCGAUCAGCCUGGGUUCUCCCUGGUGUACUCGGCGCCGCUCAGGCCAGCAUCAGUUUCGGCGGUGGGAUAAAGGCUCAGGGAACGUGAGUUGCUUCGGUGACUGUUAUAGCCCUGGGUGCAAUGCCGCCUGCCGGGACUGAGGACCGCGCUUCGGCUAGGAUGCUGGCGUAAUGGUUGUAAGCGACCCGUCUUGAAACACGGACCAAGGAGUCUAACAUCUAUGCGAGUGUUUGGGUGUCAAACCCAUACGCGUAAUGAAAGUGAACGGAGGUGAGAACCCUUAAGGGUGCAUCAUCGACCGAUCCUGAUGUCUUCGGAUGGAUUUGAGUAAGAGCAUAGCUGUUGGGACCCGAAAGAUGGUGAACUAUGCCUGAAUAGGGUGAAGCCAGGGGAAACCCUGGUGGAGGCUCGCAGCGGUUCUGACGUGCAAAUCGAUCGUCAAAUUUGGGUAUAGGGGCGAAAGACUAAUCGAACCAUUGACCUGCNUNUUAGGUGGUUGAGAGGCCUACGGGCCUAGUCCUUCGGGGCAACAUCGCAAAAUUGCGGGGACAGCUCUGCAGACACAGGCUAUCCACAGCGGGCUCGAAAGGGCCCGCCACGGUCACAACNCCUGNCCGUCUGAGCCGAUCCGCAACCCUCGCCUACCGCUUAACUNUAANNCNCGGCGCGGNCUCAUNGACUAGAUGGCGAUGGNCAGCGCGCGCNCUNUNUNAGNUAUAGUCAGACCCGCGAGCUGANCCGCGGGGCUGCUCNCUAGUAGCUGGUUCACGCCGAAGUUUCCCUCAGGAUAGCAGUGUUGUAUUCAGUUUUAUGAGGUAAAGCGAAUGAUUAGAGGCCUUGGGGUUGAAACAACCUUAACCUAUUCUCAAACUUUAAAUAUGUAAGAAGUCCUUGUUGCUUAA
rnacentral:rRNA from 1 species